rnacentral:lncRNA from 1 species
AUGGAAAACCUGUGGACUUGCUGGUCUAUGAUUGAUGGGUUAUUCAGGGUUAUUUCAGGCCACUUUGGAAAUUCACCCAGGAUGUUUCAGUUGGUGCAGAUUUCAGAUACAUCAUUGCUUCAGAUGAAUGGCCACCACCCCAAAACCACUGCCCAUCUCAACUCAUCCUUCCUUGGGAUUUUCAGCUGCACUUCAUCAUAUAUCAUCACCUGUUAGCUGGUGCUGGCCACCCCACCUCACACUUCAUCACUUCUUGCAUUCUUUGUGAGUUCUUUGCUCUGUUACAGAAUCUGUCUCCUUUGUUCACUAAUUCAUUAUGUACAAAACAAAUAUAAAUUAAUCAGACUUAAUUGGUAUUUAGAUUAAUUGUUUCUAAUUUAUCAAAACAAGACAAUGGCACAUUAUAAAAAGGAAUGAUUUCUAUGAUAAAAUGUGGUCAAGGAAGUGUUAUAUGUAAUAUUACAUACUUUCUGUGCUUUUAGUUCUCUUUAUAUUGACUCUAUAAACUUGAGCAGGGAACUUACCACUAGGCAACUUUGUUCCAUUAAACUGAAAGUAAUGGAGCUAUUUGCCACUGCCCUUUUGAGGUGUCAGCAUUAUGAGUUGGACAUGUGGCUUUUGGUGAUGUUCACUUGAGCAGAUUUUCAUUUUGAGUACAUUUCACCAUAGUGAGUGUCAUUUUCUUGUGUGUGGGGUCAUCUUUUUACCUUAAACAACUAAGUAAUUUCUCUCAUUCUGAUUGACCAGUCUGGGCUGAAUGUUUGUGAACUAAUUUGAAUUAUCUGAAAGAAAAUCUCUACAAAAAUACAAGUACUGUUGUUACAUGGUUUACUAUUGAUAUAAGCAGAUUUUCCUGAGUGAAUUAUCCCUUCAAGAUUUUUGAUAUAAAGUUUCCAGCAAUAUAUUUCAUUAUAUAAUGGGAUUGGUCAUAGUAAAUGUAAUAUAUUUUUUAAAGAUUUUAUUUAUUUACUCAUGAGACACACACACACACACAGAGGGAGAGAGAGAAAGAGAGGCAGAAACACAGGCAGAGGGAGAAGCUGGCUCCAUGCAGGGAGCCCAACAUGGGACUCGAUCCCGAGUCUCCAGGAUCAUGCCCUGGACCAAAGGCAGCGCUAAACCGCUGAACCACCCGGGCUGCCCUAAAUGUAAUAUUUUUAUUCAUAGUUUUACAUUUUAUCUAUUUAGGUUCUCAUGUAUUCUGUGUGUAACUUCUAACUCUUUGCUACUAUAAUGACCUCAAAUUACCCAAGUGGAGUUUUCCAUUACUUUGUGGGUCUUAGUUCAGGCUGCUAUAGCAAAAUUCUGUAGACUGUGUAGCUUAUAAACAACAGAAAUUCAUUUCUCAAGAUUCUGGAAGCUGGAAAAUCCAAGGUCAAGGUGCCAGUAUGGCCGUAAUCUGGUGGCGUCUCUUUUCCUGAUUCAUAGCCAACAGUUUUAUGGUAGAAGGGCUAGGGAGCUCUUUAAAGCCUCUUUUAUAAUCCCAUACAGAGGAUUUCACCCUCGUGAGUUAAGCAUCUCCCAACAGUCCCACCUUCUAAUAGCAUUAUCUGUGGGGGUUAGGAUUUUAACAUAUAUAUUUUGGGGAAACAUAAAAUUUAGAUCACAGCAUCAUGUCCAUUAGAAUCAAAAGUUGUACAUUUAGAAGUUCACCAUCCCCACAUGGGGAUGCAACUUUUAACUUCCAUUGAGUUUUUUUGUUUUGUUUUAAAAGUAGCCUCAACCUUGCAGAGAGCCCAGUACGGGACUUGAUCUCAUGACCCUGAGAUUAAGACCUGAGCUGAGAUCGAGAAUCAGAUGUUCAGCCAACUGAGCCACCCAGGUACCCCUGCCAUUGAGUUUUGUAGUUUAAUAGAGUUUAGGGGAAACCAGCCAGCAAUUUCAAGAAUAUAGUGUGAAAAGAUCGUGAUUUCUGAUGACAUCAUUUUAAUAAUUCUAGAAGUUUUAUUUAUAGUUAAGUGGUAUAUCUCAUUGAUGUUACUAGCUCAUUAUUCAAUUAGUCUUAGGGAAUGUUGAAUCUAUACUGUUAAGGUGGGAAAAACAUGCUUAUAUAAGAUAUUUUAAUUAUUAUUUAGGAAAGUAUUUAUUAUUUGGAACGAUAUUUUUUAGCUUAAAAGUCAAACUGCUGCAAAUUCAGUAUUACUUACCUUUAUCAAGUCCUCUUUGGGUAUCUCUUUAUUGCCUAGGUACUAAAUUGUGGCAUUAAUCACAUUUGUUACAGCUAAGUAGGCAGGUGUGUGUGGCCAAUUUUAAAUUUUGUUUUUAUUUUACUUCUGGCCUGUAGAAUUUACGAUUUUGUUUAUUCAGAGGAUGAUGAGAAAACCCUGCCUUUGGAGUACUCCAUAAAAAUUUACAGAGACAAUGCUUUCUUCUUUAGUCAAAAUAAUGCAUUUCAUUUAUUUUAAUGACCGUCUAAAGUUGUAAUUGGUUUGCACUUUGAAGCACUUCGGUAUUUGUUGGUGGUUUUUUCACUUAAGGUAUGCAGGUCAAAAUACAAGUUGGAUUGAUGAGGCUGACUUUAGAAACUGGCCUUUUAAUUUUAAUUUUAAUUUUAAUAACUCAGUGAAACAAAUGUUGAAGAUUGCCAAAUUAGAAGAUAUGACAUUACAUAACCAAACAUAUACAGAAACAGUUUUAGGUUUAUCUGGUGUGACUUGGAAUUAGAAUUGUGUGAGUUUUUCAAAUCGAGACAGGCAGUGUGGCAUUGACAUUUCUAAGUAAGCAACUGAAGGAACAUGUAGAAUUCUCUGCAAUCUUGACUGCAUGCAGACAUAGACUUACUUUAUGAUUGGAUUCAGAUGGAAAGGAUCAGAUGACUUAACUGAUGAAUUUUAAAAGCCCACAGCCAGUCUACAAAAGCCUGCUGCCGACCAGGAAGAGUCCAAAAUAUUAUCUAUACUAUUUUUUGAGCAAAUAUUUCUUGAGUCCCUGUAAUGCGUUAGGCACAGGUGAUAGAGAUAUAAGCAUAAAUAAGACACUAUUCCUCCUCAAGGAUGGGGCUAUAUGGAAACAAUAAAUGCAGUAGUAAAAAUAGUGGUAGUUACAUUUACUGAACACCUAAAAUAUGUCCACUACUUAAAUGCAGUUGUCUCUAACACAACAAUUCUGCAAAGUAUCAUUUGCUCUGGCUUGCCAGCAAAGAAACAGCCCCAAAGUGGUUAAUUAACUUGUCUGAGUCAACAGAGAGCAACUGGAAAAUUUGGAUUUGAACCUUGUUCUGAUCCCAAGGUCUAAGGUCACCAUUUUGAAAAUACAUGGGUCAGAUCAUGUAGAUCAUUUAGGACAUUCCAAGUAGUUUAGAUUUUAUUCUGAAGGCUAUUGAAAGCUACUGAUUUUAAACAGCAUAUAGCAUGUCAGGAUUUGGGUUCUAGACAGAAAUCUGACGAUAGUAUGGAAAUGGAAUGGAGGGGCUUCAGACUGCAGGCAAAACACCAUUGCAAGAACUAAGGUGGGAGGCACUGAGGUUCUUCCUUAGGAGAUGGCUAUGGGAAAGAAAAGGAGGCAAAUGGCUUUAAGACAUACUCAAAAAGGAGUGAGUGCAAGGAUAAAUCAAGAAUGACUUCUAAAUGAGAAGAUAGUACAAUUUGAUGCCAUUUUGUAAACAGCAAAUACACAGAGAGAAAGAGAUGAGAUUCAUUAAAAAAAUUGUUUUGAAAAACUGUACAAACUCAUUAUAAAACUUACAGCAAAAAGAAGACAAACGAUGGAAGUUAAAUCUCUAAAUUGGAGAGCUCAGAAAUAUUCAUUAUUAACUUUUGGUAUGCUUAAUUCUGGACAUGUAUUUAUGAGAAAAAUAUAUAUAGGGAAAGAGACACAUUAUAGGAUUCAUUCAGCUUUAGAUGCAUGAUUUUUUACUGUAAGAGAUAUUAGUUCCUAAAAGCUCCCUCUAAAGUUAGGACAAAAGGUAAUAAUAUAGUUGAACAAAAUGGGUUUGAACUGUGUGGGUCUGCUUUUACAUGAAUUAUUUUUUGGUACAAUAUGACACUGAAAAUAUUCCCUUCCUUAUGAUUUUUAAAAUAACCUUUUUUUUUCUUUGGCUUACUUUAUUGUAGGAAUACAAUAUAUAAUACGUAUGCAAAAUAUGUGUUAAUUGACUGUUUAUGUUAUUGGUAAGGCUUCCGGUCAACAUUAGGCUAUUAACAGUUAAGUUUCAGGGGAGCCAAAAAUUAUAUGUGGAUUUUAUUGUGAGGGGAUGUCAUGCCCCUAACCUCUGCUUUGUUCAAGGGUUAAUUUAAUUCUGGUUUCGUAAUAACACAUU